AGUGAACGCUGGCGGUAGGCCUAACACAUGCAAGUCGAAUGGCAGCACAGUAAGAGCUUGCUCUUACGGGUGGCGAGUGGCGGACGGGUGAGGAACACAUCGGAAUCUACUUUUUCGUGGGGGAUAACGUAGGGAAACUUACGCUAAUACCGCAUACGACCUACGGGUGAAAGCAGGGGAUCUUCGGACCUUGCGCGAUUGAAUGAGCCGAUGUCGGAUUAGCUAGUUGGCGGGGUAAAGGCCCACCAAGGCGACGAUCCGUAGCUGGUCUGAGAGGAUGAUCAGCCACACUGGAACUGAGACACGGUCCAGACUCCUACGGGAGGCAGCAGUGGGGAAUAUUGGACAAAGGGCGCAAGCCUGAUCCAGCCAUACCGCGUGGGUGAAGAAGGCCUUCGGGUUGUAAAGCCCUUUUGUUGGGAAAGAAAAGCAGCAGGUUAAUACCCCGCUGUUCUGACGGUACCCAAAGAAUAAGCACCGGCUAACUUCGUG
rnacentral:rRNA from 1 species